CACACCGCCCGUCACACCAUGGGAGUCGAUUGCUCCAGAAGUCGGUGUGCCAACCGUAAGGAGGCAGCCGCCCAAGGAGUGGUCGGUGACUGGGGUGAAGUCGUAACAAGGUACCC
rnacentral:rRNA from 1 species